UGCCAGCCGCCGCGGUAACACGUACCGGACGAACGUUAUUCGGAAUCACUGGGCUUAAAGAGUCCGUAGGCGGCUCGGUAGGUGAGGUGUGAAAUCCCACGGCUCAACCGUGGAACUGCGCUUCAAACCACCGGGCUUGAGGGAGAUAGAGGUGAGCGGAACUGAUGGUGGAGCGGUGAAAUGCGUUGAUAUCAUCAGGAACACCGGUGGCGAAAGCGGCUCACUGGGUCUCUUCUGACGCUGAGGGACGAAAGCUAGGGGAGCGAACGGGAUUAGAUA
rnacentral:rRNA from 1 species